UUACGGCCAUAUCACGUUGAAACACCGGUUCACGUCCGAUCCCCCAAAUUAAGCAACGUUGAUCCUGGUCAUUACCUAGAUAGGUGACCGCUUUGGAAUACCAGGUGCUA